rnacentral:rRNA from 1 species
GACGACGCUGGCGGCAUGCCUAACACAUGCAAGUCGAACGAGACCUUCGGGUCUAGUGGCGCACGGGUGCGUAACGCGUGGGAACCUGCCUUUAGGUUCGGAAUAACUCAGAGAAAUUUGAGCUAAUACCGGAUAAUGUCUUCGGACCAAAGAUUUAUCGCCUUUAGAUGGGCCCGCGUUGGAUUAGCUAGUUGGUGGGGUAAAGGCCUACCAAGGCGACGAUCCAUAGCUGGUCUGAGAGGAUGAUCAGCCACACUGGGACUGAGACACGGCCCAGACUCCUACGGGAGGCAGCAGUGGGGAAUAUUGGACAAUGGGCGAAAGCCUGAUCCAGCAAUGCCGCGUGAGUGAUGAAGGCCUUAGGGUUGUAAAGCUCUUUUACCCGAGAUGAUAAUGACAGUAUCGGGAGAAUAAGCUCCGGCUAACUCCGUG